GAUGAACGCUGGCGGCGUGCCUAAUACAUGCAAGUCGAGCGAAGCGGGGACGGGUGAGUAACACGUGGAUAACCUCCUAUAAGACUGGGAUAACUUCGGGAAACCGGAGCUAAACCGGAUACUUAUAGAUGGAUCCGCGCUGCAUUAGCUAGUUGGUAAGGUAACGGCUUACCAAGGCAACGAUGCAUAGCCGACCUGAGAGGGUGGACGGCCCCACGUGGACUGGAACACGGUCCCGACCCCUUCGGGAGGGAGGCGGAGGGAAUCGUUCGGAAUGGGGGGAAGCCUGACCGGGCAACGCCGCGUGGGUGAUGAAGGUUUUCCGGUCGUAAAACUCUUGUAUUUGGGAAGCGGUACCUAAUCAGAAAGCCACGGCUAACUACGUGCCAGCAGCCGCGGUAAUAC
rnacentral:rRNA from 1 species